rnacentral:rRNA from 1 species
ACACUGGGAUAGUCUUUCGAAAGAAAGAUUAAUACCGGAUGGCAUAGUUUUCCCGCAUGGGAUAAUUAUUAAAGAAUUUCGGUUGUCGAUGGGGAUGCGUUCCAUUAGGCAGUUGGCGGGGUAACGGCCCACCAAACCUACGAUGGAUAGGGGUUCUGAGAGGAAGGUCCCCCACAUUGGAACUGAGACACGGUCCAAACUCCUACGGGAGGCAGCAGUGAGGAAUAUUGGUCAAUGGACGAGAGUCUGAACCAGCCAAGUAGCGUGAAGGAUGACUGCCCUAUGGGUUGUAAACUUCUUUUAUACGGGAAUAAAGUGAGCCACGUGUGGCUUUUUGUAUGUACCGUAUGAAUAAGGAUCGGCUAACUCCGUGCCAGCAGCCGCGGUAAUACGGAGGAUCCGAGCGUUAUCCGGAUUUAUUGGGUUUAAAGGGAGCGUAGGCGGGUUGUUAAGUCAGUUGUGAAAGUUUGCGGCUCAACCGUAAAAUUGCAGUUGAUACUGGCGACCUUGAGUGCAACAGAGGUAGGCGGAAUUCGUGGUGUAGCGGUGAAAUGCUUAGAUAUCACGAAGAACUCCGAUUGCGAAGGCAGCUUACUGGAUUGUAACUGACGCUGAUGCUCGAAAGUGUGGGUAUCAAACAGGAUUAGAUACCCUGGUAGUCCACACAGUAAACGA